UUGUGUAGUGCGAUGUGGGGACGGAUCUUAAUAGGUCAUCCGGGUGUUGGAUAUCCCGGUUUAGGCAGAUGUAGGCGACAGGUAGGCAAAUCCGCCUGUCAUAUACCGAGGCUGCCGAUCGAGCGAGCUUGCUCGCGAAGUGAUUGAACGAGGUUCCAGGAAAAGCCACUAAGCUUCAGCUACACACGACCGUACCGCAAACCGACACUGGUGCGCGAGAUGAGUAUUCUAAGGCGCUUGAGAGAACUCGGGAGAAGGAACUCGGCAAAUUGACACCGUACUCCGGAAGAAGGUGUGCCCUAGUAGUGUGAAGUGAACAACGGAGCAUGAAUGGGUUGCAAAAAAUCGGUGGCUGCGACUGUUUAUUAAAAACACAGCACUCUGCAAACACGAAAGUGGACGUAUAGGGUGUGACGCCUGCCCGGUGCUGGAAGAUUAAAUGAUGGGGUGCAAGCUCUUGAUUGAAGUCCCAGUAAACGGCGGCCGUAACUAUAACGGUCCUAAGGUAGCGAAAUUCCUUGUCGGGUAAGUUCCGACCUGCACGAAUGGCGUAACGAUGGCCACACUGUCUCCUCCCGAGACUCAGCGAAGUUGAAAUGUUUGUGAUGAUGCAAUCUCCCCGCGGAAAGACGGAAAGACCCCAUGAACCUUUACUGUAGCUUUGUAUUGGACUUUGAACAGAUCUGUGUAGGAUAGGUGGGAGGCUUUGAAGCAGGGUCGCUAGAUCUUGUGGAGCCAACGUUGAAAUACCACCCUGGUGUGUUUGAGGUUCUAACCUAGGUCCAUUAUCUGGAUCGGGGACAGUGCAUGGUAGGCAGUUUGACUGGGGCGGUCUCCUCCCAAAGCGUAACGGAGGAGUUCGAAGGUACGCUAGUUACGGUCGGACAUCGUGACGAUAGUGCAGUGGCAUAAGCGUGCUUAACUGCGAGACUGACAAGUCGAGCAGAUGCGAAAGCAGGACAUAGUGAUCCGGUGGUUCUGUAUGGAAGGGCCAUCGCUCAACGGAUAAAAGGUACUCUGGGGAUAACAGGCUGAUACCGCCCAAGAGUUCAUAUCGACGGCGGUGUUUGGCACCUCGAUGUCGGCUCAUCUCAUCCUGGGGCUGUAGCCGGUCCCAAGGGUAUGGCUGUUCGCCAUUUAAAGAGGUACGUGAGCUGGGUUUAAAACGUCGUGAGACAGUUUGGUCCCUAUCUUCCGUGGGCGCUGCAGAUUUGAGGAAGCCUGCUCCUAGUACGAGAGGACCGGAGUGGACGCACCUCUGGUGUAUCGGUUGUCACGCCAGUGGCAUUGCCGAGUAGCUAUGUGCGGAAGAGAUAACCGCUGAAAGCAUCUAAGCGGGAAACUCGUUCCAAGAUGAGAUCUGCCGGGGCCUUGAGCCCCCUAAAGAGUCGUUCAAGACCAGGACGUUGAUAGGUCAGGUGUGGAAGCGCAGUAAUGCGUUAAGCUAACUGAUACUAAUUGCUCGUGCGGCUUGACCC
rnacentral:rRNA from 1 species